GAUGAACGCUGGCGGCGUGCCUAACACAUGCAAGUCGAGCGAUUCUCUUCGGAGAAGAGCGGCGGACGGGUGAGUAACGUGUGGGUAACCUGCCCUGUACACACGGAUAACAUACCGAAAGGUAUGCUAAUACGAGAUAAUAUACUUUUAUCGCAUGGUAGAAGUAUCAAAGCUCCGGCGGUACAGGAUGGACCCGCGUCUGAUUAGCUAGUUGGUGAGGUAACGGCUCACCAAGGCAACGAUCAGUAGCAGACCUGAGCGGGUGAUCGGCCACAUUGGAACUGAGACACGGUCCAAACUCCUACGGGAGGCAGCAGUGGAGAAUAUUGCACAAUGGGCGAAAGCCUGAUGCAGCAACGCCGCGUGAGCGAUGAAGGCCUUCGGGUCGUAAAGCUCUGUCCUUAAGGAAGAUAAUGACGGUACUUGAGGAGGAAGCCCCGGCUAACUACGUGCCAGCCGCCGCCGUAA
rnacentral:rRNA from 1 species